rnacentral:rRNA from 1 species
AAUACACGGUCCGUAGGUGAACCUGCGGAAGGAUCAUUAAAGAGUAAGGGUGCUCAGCGCCCGACCUCCAACCCUCUGUUGUUAAAACUACCUUGUUGCUUUGGCGGGACCGCUCGGUCUCGAGCCGCUGGGGAUUCGUCCCAGGCGAGCGCCCGCCAGAGUUAAACCAAACUCUUGUUAUAUAAACCGGUCGUCUGAGUUAAAAUUUUGAAUAAAUCAAAACUUUCAACAACGGAUCUCUUGGUUCUCGCAUCGAUGAAGAACGCAGCGAAAUGCGAUAAGUAAUGUGAAUUGCAGAAUUCAGUGAAUCAUCGAAUCUUUGAACGCACAUUGCGCCCCUUGGUAUUCCGAGGGGCAUGCCUGUUCGAGCGUCAUUACACCACUCAAGCUAUGCUUGGUAUUGGGCGUCCGUCCCUUCGGGGGCGCGCCUUAAAGACCUCGGCGAGGCCUCACCGGCUUUAGGCGUAGUAGAAUUUAUUCGAACGUCUGUCAAUGGAGAGGACUUCUGCCGACUGAAACCUUUUAUAUUUUUCUAGGUUGACCUCGGAUCAGGUAGGGAUACCCGCUGAACUUAAGCAUAUCAAG